UUUCAGUUACUUUUUCUCUCUCUAAACUCAAUUCCAUUUUUCUUCUUCUUGCUCUGACUUUUCUCUACUUUUCCACCACUUCCCACUGUUGAAAUUUCAAAUAGGUAGUGUGCUUUCGUUCACGGAGUUGAGAGCUUCCCAUUCAUCCGAUUAAAAUUCUGCUUUGGACGGAUGAAGAGGAGGUGUCUGUGGAGCAAGCGCUGGAAGAAGGUGAUGCUGCAGCUUAGUAUGUCUAGGAUAUUGAUUAGUAGUAUUAUUCUGAUGAUAAUUCACAGUGGUCCUUUAUGUUUAAGAGACCAACUCUGAUUUUAUUUUGGAUGACUGUAACCAAUAUAGUCUGUUAUAUGUCUCUAAUUACUUUCCAAUAUUAUAACUGAAUGACGUCUUUAUUA